UAUAUAUAUAAAGAGAGAGAGAAAGAGAAAAGGGUUAUGUGAAAAGUUCUUAAAUUGCUGUGUUUAAUCGAACUUCAUCUUGUCUUGCAUAUCAUAUUGCUCGGUACAUCUCUGCACAACAUGUUCAAACUGUUUGUGUUGGCCACAGUAGUGCUCUACUGUAACGGCUGCUUCUCUCCCAAUUUAGACCUCACGGAUGACGGAUGUGUUGACGUGGAUGGAGCUAUCCACAACUAUGACACUUCCUGGGAGGAUGGAACUUACACCUGUGUAUGUUUCACCACAGGGCCCAAGUGUUGCCCAAGAGAAGGUGAUGUAUUCUGAGGAUGAAAAACGAUUCUGGAGGUUUCUGGGGAGGAUUCUGAUUACAUAAGUUUCAAAAUAAAGUUAAAGUUAAAUAAAAGUAAUAUACAUGUUUGACCAUA